ACUCCUACGGGAGGCAGCAGUGGGGAAUAUUGCACAAUGGGCGCAAGCCUGAUGCAGCCAUGCCGCGUGUGUGAAGAAGGCCUCGGUUGUAAAUGCAACUUUCAGUCGUGAGGAAGGUAGUGUAGUUAAUAGCUGCAUUAUUUGACGUUAGCGACAGAAGAAGCACCGGCUAACUCCGUGCCAGCAGCCGCGGUAAUACGGAGGGUGCGAGCGUUAAUCGGAAUUACUGGGCGUAAAAGCGCAUGCAGGUGGUUUGUUAAGUCAGAUGUG
rnacentral:rRNA from 1 species